rnacentral:tRNA from 2 species
AGCGAGGUAGUGUAACGGUUUGCACAGGGGACUCAUAAUCCUCUGGUUUGGGUUCGAAUCCCAACUUCGCUU